GGUUCAUCUGCAGCCCCAAAUCUAGAGGAAUUAUCACGUCUUACAGGAGGUUUAAAGUUCUUUGUUCCAGAUAUAUCAGACUCCAAUAGCAUGAUUGAUGCUUUCAGUAGAAUUUCCUCUGGAACUGGAGACAUUUUCCAGCAACAUAUUCAGCUUGAAAGUACAGGUGAAAAUGUUAAACCUCACCAUCAGUUGAAAAACACAGUGACUGUGGAUAAUACUGUGGGCAACGACACUAUGUUUCUAGUUACGUGGCAGGCCAGUGGUCCUCCUGAGAUUAUAUUAUUUGAUCCUGAUGGACGAAAAUACUACACAAAUAAUUUUAUCACCAAUCUAACUUUUCGGACAGCUAGUCUUUGGAUUCCAGGAACAGCUAAGCUUAGAAGAUUUGUAUUUAUUCCAAAUGGGAGGCUGAAUCUCUCAGAUGUAGAUUUUGACACAUUGGCACUAUUUUUGUUUCUGAUUUAUUGCCUUGGCCAUAAGGUCAAAGGCAACAAUGAAGUGUACUUUCAUU
rnacentral:sRNA from 1 species